GAGCCCUCUGGCUGUGCGUGUCUGAGGAUCCUCCGGAGGACUUGCGGACGCUUUGUGGAGCCCGUUAGUGCACCUGGCUGAUACCCAUGCUGCCAACAUGUCCCGCUACCUGCGUCCCCCCAACACGUCUCUAUUCGUGAGGAACGUGGCUGAUGAUACCAGGUCUGAAGAUUUACGUCGAGAAUUUGGUCACUAUGGUCCUAUAGUUGAUGUGUAUGUUCCACUUCAUUUCUACACUAGUCAUCCAAGAGGAUUUGCUUAUGUUCAAUUUGAGGAUGUUCGUGAUGUCGAAGAUGCUUUACAUAAUUUGGACAGUAAAUGGAUUUGUGGACGUCAAAACUGAAAUCCAAUUUGCACAAGGAGAUCGGAAGACACCAAAUCAGAUGAAAGCCAAGGAAGGAAUGUGUAUAGUUCUUCACGCUACGAUGAUUAU